rnacentral:lncRNA from 1 species
AGAUACUUUAUAUCCAACUCGCGUUUUUGACCCUCACACAUCAGUCAUGAAGGAGCACCCCUUAACUUUCAGGCUAAUAUCUAGGAAGUGCACAUUAAGUUUAUUAGUUUGCUCCAGUUUUAACUUCAGGCCAUGGUUCGGCAAUCUGAAUUCCUCUGCUAGGAAUUCUGUUUUGUCUUCAUUGUUCCAGAUGACAAAUAUGUUGUCUGUGUAUCUCAGAUAUAGUCGUGUCUGUUGUGUGAUUGACUGACUGGAGGCUUGUCUGCUUGAGUGCUCUGAUGAUGAGCUCUGCUACUAUCUUAGAAAAAUAAAAAAUACUUUGAAUGAUAUUAAUGGUCCUUGUACAAGGUUUACAUUC